rnacentral:rRNA from 1 species
GAACGCUGGCGGCAGGCCUAACACAUGCAAGUCGAACGGUAACAGGAAGAAGCUUGCUUCUUUGCUGACGAGUGGCGGACGGGUGAGUAAUGUCUGGGAAACUGCCUGAUGGAGGGGGAUAACUACUGGAAACGGUAGCUAAUACCGCAUAACGUCGCAAGACCAAAGAGGGGGACCUUCGGGCCUCUUGCCAUCGGAUGUGCCCAGAUGGGAUUAGCUUGUUGGUGGGGUAACGGCUCACCAAGGCGACGAUCCCUAGCUGGUCUGAGAGGAUGACCAGCCACACUGGAACUGAGACACGGUCCAGACUCCUACGGGAGGCAGCAGUGGGGAAUAUUGCACAAUGGGCGCAAGCCUGAUGCAGCCAUGCCGCGUGUAUGAAGAAGGCCUUCGGGUUGUAAAGUACUUUCAGCGGGGAGGAAGGGAGUAAAGUUAAUACCUUUGCUCAUUGACGUUACCCGCAGAAGAAGCACCGGCUAACUCCGUGCCAGCAGCCGCGGUAAUACGGAGGGUGCAAGCGUUAAUCGGAAUUACUGGGCAUAAAGCGCACGCAGGCGGUUUGUUAAGUCAGAUGUGAAAUCCCCGGGCUCAACCUGGGAACUGCAUCUGAUACUGGCAAGCUUGAGUCUCGUAGAGGGGGGUAGAAUUCCAGGUGUACCGGUGAAAUGCGUAGAGAUCUGGAGGAAUACCGGUGGCGAAGGCGGCCCCCUGGACGAAGACUGACGCUCAGGUGCGAAAGCGUGGGGAGCAAACAGGAUUAGAUACCCUGGUAGUCCACGCCGUAAACGAUGUCGACUUGGAGGUUGUGCCCUUGAGGCGUGGCUUCCGGAGCUAACGCGUUAAGUCGACCGCCUGGGGAGUACGGCCGCAAGGUUAAAACUCAAAUGAAUUGACGGGGGCCCGCACAAGCGGUGGAGCAUGUGGUUUAAUUCGAUGCAACGCGAAGAACCUUACCUGGUCUUGACAUCCACGGAAGUUUUCAGAGAUGAGAAUGUGCCUUCGGGAACCGUGAGACAGGUGCUGCAUGGCUGUCGUCAGCUCGUGUUGUGAAAUGUUGGGUUAAGUCCCGCAACGAGCGCAACCCUUAUCCUUUGUUGCCAGCGGUCCGGCCGGGAACUCAAAGGAGACUGCCAGUGAUAAACUGGAGGAAGGUGGGGAUGACGUCAAGUCAUCAUGGCCCUUACGACCAGGGCUACACACGUGCUACAAUGGCGCAUACAAAGAGAAGCGACCUCGCGAGAGCAAGCGGACCUCAUAAAGUGCGUCGUAGUCCGGAUUGGAGUCUGCAACUCGACUCCAUGAAGUCGGAAUCGCUAGUAAUCGUGGAUCAGAAUGCCACGGUGAAUACGUUCCCGGGCCUUGUACACACCGCCCGUCACACCAUGGGAGUGGGUUGCAAAAGAAGUAGGUAGCUUAACCUUCGGGAGGGCGCUUACCACUUUGUGAUUCAUGACUGGGGUG